AAACUAUAAGAGCAUGUACAAUAGUAGACUAUAAGCCAGCUAUAAACAUAUUUUAAGAAGAUAAAAGAGAAGAGAUAAGAGCAGCGGGCUACAGAUUUGUAGCCAGCUGCAGCAUGGACUCCAAGAUACAUGUGUGUAUGAUAGGUGGGAUCAGACAUUAAUUAUGUAGCACAUACUUAAAGAUAACUAUGGUAUGAAUUGACUAUUAAAUUAACUAUAUAUGAUUUGGAGCCCAUAAUCGGCUAUACUAUUAAUACUAUUAAACUUGCUCUAAUAUACAGUUUAAUCUGGCGGUAAUGCAUGCAUGCAAGAAAAAGUGAUGAGCCAUAUGUGCGCAGGUGAUUGAUUUGGCGUCGGUUCCAAACACAUUUAAAAGCAAGUUUAAUAGUAUAGCUAACUACUGACUCAAAAUUAUCUGAUAUAGUCAAUUUAAUAGCUAAUUCAUAUAAUAGUUAUCUAUAAAUAUAUACUAUAUUAUUAAUAUUUGGUCUCACAUGUCAUACACAUAUUGCGUUUUGGAGUCCAUGCUGUAGCUGGCUAUAAAUUUAUAGCUCGCUGCUUAUCUCUCUUCUUUCAUCUCCUUAAUAUGUGUUUAUAGCUAGUUUAUAAUCUGCUAUUGUACCUGCUCUAAAAACAUGA
rnacentral:misc_RNA from 1 species